GCCAGACUCCUACGGGAGGCAGCAGUGGGGAAUAUUGCACAAUGGGGGGAACCCUGAUGCAGCGACGCCGCGUGGGUGAAGAAGUCAUUCGUGACGUAAAGCCCUAUCAGCAGGGAAGAAAAUGACGGUACCUGACUAAGAAGCCCCGGCUAACUACGUGCCAGCAGCCGCGGUAAUACGUAGGGGGCAAGCGUUAUCCGGAUUUACUGGGUGUAAAGGGAGCGUAGGCGGGAAUGCAAGUUGGAAGUGAAAGGUAUGGGCUCAACCCAUGAACUGCUUUCAAAACUGUAUUUCUUGAGUGAAGUAGAGGCAGGCGGAAUUCCUAGUGUAGCGGUGAAAUGCGUAGAUAUUAGGAGGAACACCAGUGGCGAAGGCGGCCUGCUGGGCUUUAACUGACGCUGAGGCUCGAAAGCGUGGGUAGCAAACAGGAUUAGAUACCCCUGUA
rnacentral:rRNA from 1 species